rnacentral:lncRNA from 1 species
UGUACUGGGGACACAUACUUGUUUAUCUUAUUUUUUUAUUAUACACAAUAUAUACUAUAUGUUGGCAAAGUAUGAACAAAUUCUAUCAUUUUCAAUUUAGACUCCCUUAAGAUACAUUUCCUAUAUGGACAUAUUGUAUAUUGUCCCCGCAGAUAAAGCCCCAAACAACAUCGUUUUUGUGUGUAAAACUCAUUACAGUAACUGCUUGGUAAACGAAUUAGGUAUUGAAAAUUCACAUGGAAACCCACCAUAUACCCUCACGACAUUUAUCAAAGAGGAAAUCCUGGAUAAUCAUAGGUCUGUUGUAUGUUCCUUUGGAAUUUCAACCACAGUUAAUGAACUGGAUCUUCUAUCACUGUAUUGGAUACUUUAACUGCAUAAGUGUCCUUACAAACAACGGUAUAUUGCUGGAUCUUCUAAGUGCUCCACGACACCUCUUUCUAAAUUAUUAACAUCUAUUCUAUCACCAAUCAAAGACGGGUUUCAAAGUUAUUGUGAAACUGCAUAUUCUAGAGGUGGCAUGAAUCAGAUGUGGAUACUUAAAAAAUUCCAAAGAUCUUUUAGAGUACAUACAAUCUAACUCUCUUUCAUCUUGUAAUAGUA